UACAGAGGUCCCAAGCGUUGUCCGGAAUUAUUGGGCGUAAAGAGCUCGUAGGCGGUUUGUCGCGUCGAAUGUGAAAACCCGGGGCUCAACUCCGGGCCUGCAUUCGAUACGGGCAGACUAGAGUUCGGUAGGGGAGACUGGAAUUCCUGGUGUAGCGGUGAAAUGCGCAGAUAUCAGGAGGAACACCGGUGGCGAAGGCGGGUCUCUGGGCCGAUACUGACGCUGAGGAGCGAAAGCGUGGGGAGCAAACAGG
rnacentral:rRNA from 1 species